rnacentral:rRNA from 1 species
UGGGGAAUAUUGCACAAUGGGCGAAAGCCUGAUGCAGCAACGCCGCGUGAGUGAUGAAGGUCUUCGGAUUGUAAAGCUCUGUCUUUUGGGACGAUAAUGACGGUACCAAAGGAGGAAGCCACGGCUAACUACGUGCCAGCAGCCGCGGUAAUACGUAGGUGGCGAGCGUUGUCCGGAUUUACUGGGCGUAAAGGGUGCGUAGGCGGAUGUUUAAGUGAGAUGUGAAAUACCCGGGCUUAACUUGGGUGCUGCAUUUCAAACUGGAUAUCUAGAGUGCAGGAGAGGAGAAUGGAAUUCCUAGUGUAGCGGUGAAAUGCGUAGAGAUUAGGAAGAACACCAGUGGCGAAGGCGAUUCUCUGGACUGUAACUGACGCUGAGGCACGAAAGCGUGGGUAGCAAACAGGAUUAGAUACCCUGGUAGUCCACGCCGUAAACGAUGAGUACUAGGUGUAGGAGGUAUCGACCCCUUCUGUGCCGCAGUAAACACAUUAAGUAC